AACGAACGCUGGCGGCAUGCCUAACACAUGCAAGUCGAACGAAGUCUUCGGACUUAGUGGCGCACGGGUGCGUAACGCGUGGGAAUCUGCCCUUGGGUACGGAAUAACUCAGAGAAAUUUGUGCUAAUACCGUAUAAUGUCUUCGGACCAAAGAUUUAUCGCCCAAGGAUGAGCCCGCGUAAGAUUAGCUAGUUGGUGGGGUAAAAGCCUACCAAGGCGACGAUCUUUAGCUGGUCUGAGAGGAUGAUCAGCCACACUGGGACUGAGACACGGCCCAGACUCCUACGGGAGGCAGCAGUGGGGAAUAUUGGACAAUGGGCGAAAGCCUGAUCCAGCAAUGCCGCGUGAGUGAUGAAGGCCCUAGGGUUGUAAAGCUCUUUUACCAGGGAUGAUAAUGACAGUACCUGGAGAAUAAGCGCCGGCUAACUCCGUG
rnacentral:rRNA from 1 species